GAUGAACGCUAGCGGCAGGCUUAACACAUGCAAGUCGAGGGGUAUAGGCUUUCGGGCCUAGAGACCGGCGCACGGGUGCGUAACGCGUAUGCAAUCUGCCUUACACUAAGGGAUAGCCCAGAGAAAUUUGGAUUAAUACCUUAUAGUAUAUUGAUGUGGCAUCACAAUGAUAUUAAAGAUUUAUCGGUGUAAGAUGAGCAUGCGUCCCAUUAGCUAGUUGGUGUGGUAACGGCAUACCAAGGCGAUGAUGGGUAGGGGUCCUGAGAGGGAGAUCCCCCACACUGGUGCUGAGACACGGACCAGACUCCUACGGGAGGCAGCAGUGAGGAAUAUUGGACAAUGGGCGCAAGCCUGAUCCAGCCAUGCCGCGUGCAGGAUGACGGUCCUAUGGAUUGUAAACUGCUUCUGUACGGGAAGAAACACUCCUACGUGUAGGAGCUUGACGGUACCGUAAGAAUAAGGAUCGGCUAACUCCGUGCCAGCAGCCGCCGCCG
rnacentral:rRNA from 1 species